ACGGGUGAGUAACGCGUAGGUAACCUGCCUGGUAGCGGGGGAUAACUAUUGGAAACGAUAGCUAAUACCGCAUAAGAACAUUUACUGCAUGGUAGAUGUUUAAAAGGUGCAAAAGCAUCACUACCAGAUGGACCUGCGUUGUAUUAGCUAGUUGGUGAGGUAACGGCUCACCAAGGCAACGAUACAUAGCCGACCUGAGAGGAUGAUCCGCCACACUGGGACUGAGACACGGCCCAGACUCCUACGGGAGGCAGCAGUGGGGAAUUUUGGACAAUGGGCGCAAGCCUGAUCCAGCCAUGCCGCGUGAGUGAAGAAGGUUUUCGGAUCGUAAAGCUCUGUUGUAAGAGAAGAACGAGUGUGAGAGUGGAAAGUUCACACUGUGACGGUAUCUUACCAGAAAGGGACGGCUAACUACGUGCCAGCAGCCGCGGUAAUACGUAGGUCCCGAGCGUUGUCCGGAUUUAUAGGGCGUAAAGCGAGCGCAGGCGGUUAGAUAAGUCUGAAGUUAAAGGCUGUGGCUUAACCAUAGUACGCUUUGGAAACUGUUUAACUUGAGUGCAAGAGGGGAGAGUGGAAUUCCAUGUGUAGCGGUGAAAUGCGUAGAUAUAUGGAGGAACACCGGUGGCGAAAGCGGCUCUCUGGCUUGUAACUGACGCUGAGGCUCGAAAGCGUGGGGAGCAAACAGGAUUAGAUACCCU
rnacentral:rRNA from 1 species